rnacentral:sRNA from 1 species
UCUCUUCUUGGCCAAAGAGCAUCAGAGAGGGAACUGAGUGGCCCUGAGGCUGCACAGCUCUGUGAGAUGCCUCAGAGCCCCGGCAGCACAUCCCGCCCAGUGCUCCGCAAAACUAUUCUGACCCACAGAACAAAAUUCCAGGCAAGUCAGUUGGACCUCCCUCCUCCCCGGGGUGGGAUCCACUGUCAUCCUUUCUCCUCUAGGCGUCCCCAAGAUGGCGGCUAUCCAUGAAUCCCACAGGGAAGAAAGCAGACUCCGAGUUGGGAGCCGGGCUGGGGGCGGGCUGACCUCUAACCUCAGAGUCUGCCUGGCCACCCACCCCCAGGGAAGGAACGUGGCCAAGCCUCGAGGGCUGACCGGCUGCAGAAGAGCCUGUCUCAGCUGCUGGCCACCGGGCCCUGCCCAGCACCCCAGAAUGGAGUCUGAGAGAGUUUACAGGCUAGCUUCAAGUGCACCAAGUAGCCCAGGAUGACGCCAGACUCCUGAUCCCAACCAUGUUUCGCAACCAUGCCUGUUUUCUGCAGUGCUGAAGAUGAACCCAUCAGGGCUUUCAUGCUGCUAAGCCAACGUUCUACCCACUGCUCUACCCCCCAUUUCUCUUUUUGUGAUUAAAUUAAAUAUGUAUCU